UACAGAGGGUGCGAGCGUUAAUCGGAAUUACUGGGCGUAAAGCGCACGUAGGCGGCUUGGUAUGUCGGGUGUGAAAUCCCCGGGCUCAACCUGGGAACUGCAUCCGAAACUGCCUUGCUAGAGUAUGGGAGAGGGAAGUGGAAUUUCCGGUGUAGCGGUGAAAUGCGUAGAUAUCGGAAGGAACAUCAGUGGCGAAGGCGACUUCCUGGACCAAUACUGACGCUCAGGUGCGAAAAGCGUGGGGAGCAAACAGG
rnacentral:rRNA from 1 species